rnacentral:lncRNA from 1 species
AUAAGCAGAAGUGCACAAGUGAAUAAAGUCAAAUUCUGAAGAGUCUCUAUCCUCAGAAUCACCCACUCCAUGGCUGCAUUAGACAGAAAGAACAGCACAGCAUCUGCAUCCACCAGGCUUAGGUAGUUUUUAAGGAAUCUAUCUACAGUUCCAAAAGCUCUUAUUGUCACCACUCCAAGCGAGGUUUCUGCAGCAUAGUUCAUCACUGGAGCUUUCGUUGUUCCAUUGAUCCUAAUAAGCUCCCUUGCAGAGGCUAAAUAGUACUCCUUUUGUUCAGAGAAGAAGGCAGAAACAAUUGAUAAUGACUUCUUUGCUGCUACAAAUAUAAGUCAAAGGAAGAUACGUACCUGAACAACUUUCGUGGCCGCUAAAGCAAGAAGAGCGAUAAUGAUAACUUGCCAUGUCACAUAUGUCAUGACGAUUAGUGCAGCAGUGAGCUCGACAGCAGGUGAUACCACAAAUAUGAUUGCAAAUGGAAUGUCAAAGUCCAAGACGUUUAAAUCAGAUGAUGCCUGCAAAUGUUACAUGCAAUUAUAUAUCAUACAUUGACUGAGAUGUAGUGUUAUUCAUAUAAGCAAAGAUAUCUUACUCGGGUGAGAAUGCGUCCAACUGGAGUAGAAUCAAAGAAAAGCAUUGGUGCUUUGAAGACUGCAUUUGUGAAACCAGAGAAGAAAGCUUUAGAAGCUUUUAGUCCAAGAUGGGCAGUCGUUACAGCUCUCGCGUAUACAAAACCAGCACUAAGAGUUGAGAUGACGCUAUAGACUCCAAUAAGCAUUGUUGCUGUGAGAUUAGGGAUCCCAAUUCCACAAGCCAGCCAGUAUGUUGAUGCGGCUUGAAAAACUACAAAGCCUACCUGACCCAAUACGCUUGACGACAGAAGAAACCAUCCUCUGGAGACAUUUAAAUAGUCCAAGAAAGGUUUCAAUCCAACAUAGCCCGCCUCUUUUUCCUCUUCCUGCGUAAGUUGUGCCCCUGGAACAUUGGUUGUUGUUGUGAUCUCUUCUUCGAUUUUCUCUACAACCUGGAUGCUUCCUAUCUCUCUGUCUCUGCCCACUUUGGUAAGAUCUCCUAGGCUUUCAUUACUAGCCAAAGGUAACACAGUUACUGCAUCGUUAUGAGCAUUCACCAGCUGUUUGAAUGCCGUUCCCAUCAUUAAGAGCUCAUCAUACUUUCCUAACUGAGUGAUUCUUCCUUCUUCCAUAACCUGAUUAAGAUCAUCAAUCAUUAAUAAGUUUAGACAUAGACAGUCUUUUUUAUCUGAUGCUACUCAAGUUUUACCAGAAUUUGAUCAACUUCUGAGAGGAAUUCAACUUGGUGAGUGACCAGAAUGACAGUUUUCUCCCUCAGCGAGUCCUCAACACAUUUCUGCAAAGUCAUAACUAAACAUAUUAAGAAGCAUUCUUUAAGAAAGUUUCGUCAAAAUCAAUUACAUGAAAAAGAACUCCAGCUGUAUGUGCAUCAACAGCACUAAAAGGAUCAUCAAGGAGGUAAACAUCAGCAUCUGCAUAAACAGCACGUGCCAGCUGAAUCCUUUGCUUUUGCCCUCCGCUCAAGUUAAGCCCUCUUUGUCCUAUCUCUGUGAGGUCACCAUGUCCAAAAUCAUUUAUGUCCUUAUCCAAAGCACAUGCUUUAAUAGCAGCGUUAUAUCGUCUAGUUUCCAUUGGCUUCCCAUAGAGGAUGUUAUCCCUGAUGGUACCACUUUGGAUCCAAGAGGUCUGAGAAACAUAAGCGAUGGACCCAGAGACCUUUACCUGUUUCAGUUGAACAACACAAAGUAAACAUAUAUUAAAUGAACAAAGAGAGGUUCUUGGUGGCUGCUUUGCUUACAGUUCCAGAAACUUUAAGUAUUUCUCCGAGCACUGCAUGCAACAGAGACGAUUUACCUGCACCAACUGGUCCACAAACAGCAACUUUUUGCCCAUUCUUAAUUUCCAAAUUUAUAUUUCGAAGAGUUGGAUGCUUAGUUUCUGGAUCCCAACUGAAGUUUCCUGCUUGUAUAUCAACUGCUGUUCCAGACUUCUCCAUACCACUUCUUUCAAUCUCGUCGGUCUUGAGCUCAUCAUCAAGCAAAAAGUUGUUGAUCCUAUCAAAAGAGACGUUCACUUGGAUGAUAGCAGAAAUCGCCUCAGGUAUAACUCUAACCGGCUCUGACAUAACUCUCAGCGUAGCUAAAACCGUGAAGAUGGUGCUUGCGUUCAGCGGCGCGCUGUUCAUUAAAGCACACCCCACAAAGAUAACAGAAGAAACUAUUGUUGGAGACAUCCAAUACAAGAAAGUACCAAAGGCCUUUGUCAGCUGAGCCUUAGCCAACCAUUUGAACUCCUCAUCACGGCAAGACUCUAUCUGUUUCUUGAACUCCUCUUCCCAUGACUGCAGCUUAAUGACUUUCAUACUGUUCAGAAUCUCCGAAGUGGAUCUUAAUCGUUUAUCCUGCGCGAUCAUGAACUGGGUCUGGCAGUUCUGCAGCAUCUUUGCAAACGGGAGAUUAAGAAGACCGCAGAGGAGAAGAAGAAUCAAACCUGGAACAGCUCCUAUUCCAACUACUCCGAAAAGUACAGCUGUGGAAAGCAAAAGCUGCAGCGUAAGGCUCCAUCCUGAGUGGAACCACCACAAGAACUCUCCCAUUCGGUACGCAUCCACGGCGAUGUAGUUCACAAUCUCUCCAGACGAAUGCCUUUUCCUCCCUAAGCUUGAUAGCUUCAGCUGCUUUUUAUACGCAGCGACCAUCAGCGCUGAUCUAAUCCUCAUCCCUGAUCUUCUUGCUGCAAAGUACCAGUGUCUCAUUGACAAGGACUCAACAAGCUUCAGCAUAACUAGACAAGCUAAGUUGAAGAAACCAGUGCGGAGAUCACGGUGGUCACUGUUUGCGUAAUCCACAAAGACGUAUAGCAUUAGUGGAAGAGAUACUACAGCUAUUGUUCGGAAGAGUGCACAAACUGCUGUGAUUAUGUUCUCCUUGAAGUAGACUUUUGCAACGGCUCUGAACACCAAGUUUCUUUCCUUGGCUCCCUCUGGCUCUGAGAGAAGAGCAUCAUCCCAUGCUUUGGAGAAUUUAGUGUAAGCUAACUCAGCCUCAUCCUCCGGGACAACACUUGGGAUAUCGUCUGGGGUUAAUGGUUUCUUGAAGCCCAACGAGAGUAAAGAGUUCAUCCAAGAGAAGGAUAGAAAGCUGAAAAAUCUAGCUGUUGCUAACCUUGCCGAGUUUUUCUUAGAAUUCUCAGCUAAUAAAGGAUCAGAAAGACCUGCUGUGCUGUAAUCUUGAGCUUCUGGAGAAGAUCUCAAGUUCAUCCAGGAGCAAAGAAGAAGCAAAAGGCUUAUCAGCCAGGUAAUGAUGUCAAACAUUCUGAUGCUUUUCCCCUGAGAAAGUAUCUCAAUCUUUGCUGCUGAAUCCAGCAAAGCAAAAGACACCCACCAAACAGAUGCGAGAAUCUUGAUCCACUUGGAGUCGUUAACAAGCAGUGAAACCGUAAGUGAGACCCAAAUGAGCCCUUCAACAAAGCAAGCAACCCAGGAGACUUCAUCAUUGGCACUAGCAAUCAGAUUCUUCAGUCCAGCACCAAGAUAUAUAAUGCUAGUAGCAGCACAGCAUAUAGCUGCAGCAACAAAGAUCCAGCCUUUUUUGCGGCUCCCAAGAGUAAAACGCUGUGAAACACAACCAGCUACCAAGAGCAAGUAGAAGAAGGAGAGGAACAGUAGAUUAACGAGAUCUAUGGCCGUUCUCUGUAAGCAUUUAGAGCCAAGAUUCAGUUCAACGUCACACCAUGGAAGGUCCUCUGCAUCAUGAAAAGAACCAAUCACAAAGAGACUUUAAAUAAAUCAGCAAAUCACUAACAUUAGUACAGUUUAUUUAAUAGCCAUUUUUUUUGUCUUUAGAGGAACACAAGAAGCCCAAGAUGGUGAAUAACAAAGUUCCCCCACCAUAUAUAGUAUCAUCAAUGAUUGUUCUCAUAUAAGAUUAUUUAAACCAAGAACCUCCCAACACACACAACCCAAGAAUGCAACAAACUUGAAAACUAAGCAAUGAAACAAGUAAGCCGAAGAAAGCAACAGAGUGAGUAAAGAAAAGAGUGAACCAUACCAAUCAAAACCGCCAUUGUAGAAGCAAGCAAGAGAAGAGUAAGAUUACACAAAUGAACAGAAAAAGCUAUCCCUUUUUAUUGAAACGUGAGGUCGGUGUUUGAGUAAAAAGCGAUGUAUCUACCUUUUGUCCACAUCUCCUCAGAUUAGAAUCUUCGUUGAGCAAAAAAUGAUUGACGGCUCUCUCUUCUCUUACUUUUUUUCUCUGUCUUUUUUUUUAUAAUUAGCCGUAGAGGGGACAACCAACCUUUUAUCUUCCAGCCUCUAUGUCUCUCUCGAACUUGCAUAGAGAUGCGUAAUUGAUUACGUAAUAAUAACACGAAGCAUUCGCUAACACGACGAGGAGACGAGAUUCACGGAUCUCUUCCAUUUAUGAAGGAGAGUAUUUUGUUUUAAAAAAAAAAAAAACAUUGUGCAUUUAUUUCUUUUAUCGUAUUUUAAGGGGGUUUUAUUUCUGAAGUUUGUCGUCGAAGUGAAAGACAGAAGCUGUCUGAACGUUUGUUUCUAGAGGUGUCGCUGUCUUCCAUUGCAACCUCCUCGAGCCCUGUGAGCUUUCCGGCCAACUUUUUUUGAUAUUUAAAAUGAGAAGGAAGUAAGUUAGAGCCACCUAAACUGAAUAUCUGAAAGGAAGGAAGUGCUAACGCCGAAAAUAAAAUCCGACAUCGACAGAUUGGGCCAAUAAUGGGCUCCGAUUCAAAUUGGAAUUUAUAUUGCAAAUUAAUAAUUACUAGGAUAAGAUCCGCGCCUUGGAUUAAGUUAUUAUUUUUAUUAUAUUUUGGAGAAUGAAACAAUAGUUUGGCUUCAUUUGGAUUAGGGGUGUUCAAUCCAGAUAUCGGGUUGGUUUCGAUUCGGUUCGGUUUUUUUCGGUAUUUUGGUUAGUAAAAUAUAACUACUAUUCUAAAUCCAUAUUUACUUUGACUUUAGUCUUUCACAUACUUUUGAAAGAUUUCAACUCGACAACUAAAUUGAUCAGCCAAUCUUGUUGCUUUAAAUCAUUAGUAUAUAUAUAUAUAUAUUAUUUAGUUUGAAUAUUUAUUAAAUAAAAAUUCAUAUGCGUUAUAUUUUAUGAUCAUUUGUAACUUAUUAUAACAAAAAAAAUAAUCUAUUGAUCACGGUCUUUUAGACCAAUCUUACUUAUGUCAAUGCCAUCAAUCAAUAUACAACCACUUGCUGGUUCUACCAACCGGAACAAAGCACUGAUCAACGUGCUUUUCCCACUUCCCGUUCUCCCCACAACUCCCACUCUUGUCCCUUCCCUGAAUGUGCAAGAGAUUCCUUUGAGAACCAAGGGAGCAUUGGGCCGGUAUCUUAUCUUCAAAAGAAAAAGAAGCAAAGCAAUAUGUCUUUAACAUAACUGGAACCAUCAUCUUAUAACAAGUAAUGUUUCUAUAUACCUUAAGUUCCUGCAAGUGAAUGGUACCACUGGAUGGCCAUGAGGAAGGUGGCCUUUUAUCAUCAACAACAGCAGGAGGCUCUGCUGGUAUGCUCAUAUACUGUUUUAUCCUCUCUACCGAAAUGAUUGAAUUUGAUAAGGUACAAUACCAUCUGGUUAGAAACACCUGAGUUUGUGUCAGUGUUAGUGCAUAGGAUAGUGAAAGCCCAACAAGACCUGAAACAGAAAGACACAAAGUUCAUGAAGCACCUUUCAGUGUGAUACUAACAUUAGCUAUGAGGUGAUGAGACAAAUAGUUAAUGUACCUGGAGCUAUGUAGCCCUUGGGAAUAAGGAUAAGCAGAAGUGCACAAGUGAAUAAAGUCAAAUUCUGAAGAGUCUCUAUCCUCAGAAUCACCCACUCCAUGGCUGCAUUAGACAGAAAGAACAGCACAGCAUCUGCAUCCACCAGGCUUAGGUAGUUUUUAAGGAAUCUAUCUACAGUUCCAAAAGCUCUUAUUGUCACCACUCCAAGCGAGGUUUCUGCAGCAUAGUUCAUCACUGGAGCUUUCGUUGUUCCAUUGAUCCUAAUAAGCUCCCUUGCAGAGGCUAAAUAG